AUUAACAAAGCAAAUAUAUCAUGAAGAAAAACCUAUGAGUGAUCUUGUGGAACACCCCAUCUCAAGAGUGUGCAUUUUAUGGCACCACUCACUAC